rnacentral:rRNA from 1 species
UACGUAGGGUGCAAGCGUUAUCCGGAAUUAUUGGGCGUAAAGAGCUCGUAGGCGGCCUGUUGCGUCCGCUGUGAAAGCCCCGGGGCUUAACCCCGGGUCUGCAGUGGAUACGGGCAGGCUAGAGGUAGGUAGGGGAGAAUGGAAUUCCCGGUGUAGCGGUGAAAUGCGCAGAUAUCGGGAGGAACACCGGUGGCGAAGGCGGUUCUCUGGGCCUUACCUGACGCUGAGGAGCGAAAGCGUGGGGAGCGAACAGG